rnacentral:RNase_P_RNA from 1 species
UUGAACGGUCGCCGGACCGCUCCGCCGAAGAUGGGCGGAGAGGAAAGUCCGAGCUCCACAGGGCCGGGCGCUUUCUAACGGAAAGGCGGGGGUCGGCGUUUCCCCCGACGGAAAGUGCCACAGAAAACAAACCGCCCACGUCCGCCGCGAGGCGGGCCGGCAAGGGUGAAAACGGGAGGUAAGAGCUCCCGGCUUCGCGUCGAGAGGCGCGGGGCGGCAAACCCCGCCCGGAGCAAGGCCAAGAGGGAACGGUUCGCGAGAAGGCGUCGGCCCGACGCCGCCCCGUCUUCGGACGGGCCCGUUUCCGGUGGGCCGCUUGAGCGGCGCGGCAACGCGCCGCCCAGAGAAAUGGUCCGGCCCCGCGCUCGGCGCGGGGACAGAACUCGGUGUACAGGCCGUUCAAACGC